GGGUUGUGAGGUUAAGCGACUAAGCGUACACGGUGGAUGCCCUGGCAGUCAGAGGCGAUGAAGGACGUGCUAAUCUGCGAUAAGCGUCGGUAAGGUGAUAUGAACCGUUAUAACCGGCGAUUUCCGAAUGGGGAAACCCAGUGUGAUUCGUCACACUAUCAUUAACUGAAUCCAUAGGUUAAUGAGGCGAACCGGGGGAACUGAAACAUCUAAGUACCCCGAGGAAAAGAAAUCAACCGAGAUUCCCCCAGUAGCGGCGAGCGAACGGGGAGCAGCCCAGAGCCUGAAUCAGUGUGUGUGUUAGUGGAAGCGUCUGGAAAGGCGCGCGAUACAGGGUGACAGCCCCGUACACAAAAAUGCACAUGCUGUGAGCUCGAUGAGUAGGGCGGGACACGUGGUAUCCUGUCUGAAUAUGGGGGGACCAUCCUCCAAGGCUAAAUACUCCUGACUGACCGAUAGUGAACCAGUACCGUGAGGGAAAGGCGAAAAGAACCCCGGCGAGGGGAGUGAAAAAGAACCUGAAACCGUGUACGUACAAGCAGUGGGAGCACGCUUAGGCGUGUGACUGCGUACCUUUUGUAUAAUGGGUCAGCGACUUAUAUUCUGUAGCAAGGUUAACCGAAUAGGGGAGCCGAAGGGAAACCGAGUCUUAACUGGGCGUUAAGUUGCAGGGUAUAGACCCGAAACCCGGUGAUCUAGCCAUGGGCAGGUUGAAGGUUGGGUAACACUAACUGGAGGACCGAACCGACUAAUGUUGAAAAAUUAGCGGAUGACUUGUGGCUGGGGGUGAAAGGCCAAUCAAACCGGGAGAUAGCUGGUUCUCCCCGAAAGCUAUUUAGGUAGCGCCUCGUGAAUUCAUCUCCGGGGGUAGAGCACUGUUUCGGCAAGGGGGUCAUCCCGACUUACCAACCCGAUGCAAACUGCGAAUACCGGAGAAUGUUAUCACGGGAGACACACGGCGGGUGCUAACGUCCGUCGUGAAGAGGGAAACAACCCAGACCGCCAGCUAAGGUCCCAAAGUCAUGGUUAAGUGGGAAACGAUGUGGGAAGGCCCAGACAGCCAGGAUGUUGGCUUAGAAGCAGCCAUCAUUUAAAGAAAGCGUAAUAGCUCACUGGUCGAGUCGGCCUGCGCGGAAGAUGUAACGGGGCUAAACCAUGCACCGAAGCUGCGGCAGCGACGCUUAUGCGUUGUUGGGUAGGGGAGCGUUCUGUAAGCCUGUGAAGGUGUGCUGUGAGGCAUGCUGGAGGUAUCAGAAGUGCGAAUGCUGACAUAAGUAACGAUAAAGCGGGUGAAAAGCCCGCUCGCCGGAAGACCAAGGGUUCCUGUCCAACGUUAAUCGGGGCAGGGUGAGUCGACCCCUAAGGCGAGGCCGAAAGGCGUAGUCGAUGGGAAACAGGUUAAUAUUCCUGUACUUGGUGUUACUGCGAAGGGGGGACGGAGAAGGCUAUGUUGGCCGGGCGACGGUUGUCCCGGUUUAAGCGUGUAGGCUGGUUUUCCAGGCAAAUCCGGAAAAUCAAGGCUGAGGCGUGAUGACGAGGCACUACGGUGCUGAAGCAACAAAUGCCCUGCUUCCAGGAAAAGCCUCUAAGCAUCAGGUAACAUCAAAUCGUACCCCAAACCGACACAGGUGGUCAGGUAGAGAAUACCAAGGCGCUUGAGAGAACUCGGGUGAAGGAACUAGGCAAAAUGGUGCCGUAACUUCGGGAGAAGGCACGCUGAUAUGUAGGUGAAGUCCCUCGCGGAUGGAGCUGAAAUCAGUCGAAGAUACCAGCUGGCUGCAACUGUUUAUUAAAAACACAGCACUGUGCAAACACGAAAGUGGACGUAUACGGUGUGACGCCUGCCCGGUGCCGGAAGGUUAAUUGAUGGGGUUAGCGCAAGCGAAGCUCUUGAUCGAAGCCCCGGUAAACGGCGGCCGUAACUAUAACGGUCCUAAGGUAGCGAAAUUCCUUGUCGGGUAAGUUCCGACCUGCACGAAUGGCGUAAUGAUGGCCAGGCUGUCUCCACCCGAGACUCAGUGAAAUUGAACUCGCUGUGAAGAUGCAGUGUACCCGCGGCAAGACGGAAAGACCCCGUGAACCUUUACUAUAGCUUGACACUGAACAUUGAGCCUUGAUGUGUAGGAUAGGUGGGAGGCUUUGAAGUGUGGACGCCAGUCUGCAUGGAGCCGACCUUGAAAUACCACCCUUUAAUGUUUGAUGUUCUAACGUUGACCCGUAAUCCGGGUUGCGGACAGUGUCUGGUGGGUAGUUUGACUGGGGCGGUCUCCUCCUAAAGAGUAACGGAGGAGCACGAAGGUUGGCUAAUCCUGGUCGGACAUCAGGAGGUUAGUGCAAUGGCAUAAGCCAGCUUGACUGCGAGCGUGACGGCGCGAGCAGGUGCGAAAGCAGGUCAUAGUGAUCCGGUGGUUCUGAAUGGAAGGGCCAUCGCUCAACGGAUAAAAGGUACUCCGGGGAUAACAGGCUGAUACCGCCCAAGAGUUCAUAUCGACGGCGGUGUUUGGCACCUCGAUGUCGGCUCAUCACAUCCUGGGGCUGAAGUAGGUCCCAAGGGUAUGGCUGUUCGCCAUUUAAAGUGGUACGCGAGCUGGGUUUAGAACGUCGUGAGACAGUUCGGUCCCUAUCUGCCGUGGGCGCUGGAGAACUGAGGGGGGCUGCUCCUAGUACGAGAGGACCGGAGUGGACGCAUCACUGGUGUUCGGGUUGUCAUGCCAAUGGCACUGCCCGGUAGCUAAAUGCGGAAGAGAUAAGUGCUGAAAGCAUCUAAGCACGAAACUUGCCCCGAGAUGAGUUCUCCCUGACUCCUUGAGAGUCCUGAAGGAACGUUGAAGACGACGACGUUGAUAGGCCGGGUGUGUAAGCGCAGCGAUGCGUUGAGCUAACCGGUACUAAUGAACCGUGAGGCUUAACCUUACAACGCCGAAGGUGUUU
rnacentral:rRNA from 1 species